rnacentral:misc_RNA from 1 species
UUGGCAUCGAAUAUGCUUGACCUGGAGUGAAACAAGUCCAUUAGAAUGAUCAACACCAUUAAAGACGCAAUUAAAAAGAUCCAUUUCAGGUCAGGUCAUCAUUUUCAAACGGAUGAGAUGAUAAAGUAGAUCUCAGAAUAAUACAAGGGGCAUAUGCAAAUCAGCUUUUCAAAUUAUCAUGGUUUUUAUCCCUUAAAUGUAGCUUUUCAGAUCAUCACAUCAUCAAGAAAACACACUAACAUACAUUAUCAACCCAAACCAAGCAUUCACAAUUUACAUAAGAAACCACAAAGAGAAUCUGGAGACAUUGAAUUGCCUCUUGAUCAUCAGAUUUUAAAAAAAAAAAAUCUUGCAUUAACGAUAAUUGAUUAUUG